CCUACGGGUGGCUGCAGUAGGGAAUAUUGCUCAAUGGGGGAAACCCUGAAGCAGCAACGCCGCGUGGAGGAUGAAGGUCUUAGGAUUGUAAACUUCUUUUGUGAGAGAAGAUAAUGACGGUAUCUCACGAAUAAGCACCGGCUAACUCCGGGCCAGCAGCCGCGGUAAUACGGAGGGUGCAAGCGUUACUCGGAAUCACUGGGCGUAAAGAGUGCGCAGGCGGGCAUUUAAGCCGGCAGUCAAAUGUCGGGGCUCAACCCCGGCCUGCGGUCGGAACUGGGUGCCUUGAGUGGGCGAGAAGUAUGCGGAAUGCGUGGUGUAGCGGUGAAAUGCAUAGAUAUCACGCAGAACCCCGAUUGCGAAGGCAGCAUACCGGCGCCCUACUGACGCUGAGGCACGAAAGUGCGGGUAUCGAACAGGAUUAGAUACCCCAGUAGUC
rnacentral:rRNA from 1 species